AUUGAACGCUGGCGGCAUGCCUUACACAUGCAAGUCGAACGGUAACAGGUCUUCGGAUGCUGACGAGUGGCGAACGGGUGAGUAAUACAUCGGAACGUGCCUAGUAGUGGGGGAUAACUACUCGAAAGAGUGGCUAAUACCGCAUGAGAUCUACGGAUGAAGGCAGGGGAUCGCAAGACCUUGUGCUACUAGAGCGGCCGAUGGCAGAUUAGGGAGUUGGUGGGAUAAAAGCUUACCAAGCCGACGAUCUGUAGCUGGUCUGAGAGGACGAUCAGCCACACUGGGACUGAGACACGGCCCAGACUCCUACGGGAGGCAGCAGUGGGGAAUUUUGGACAAUGGGCGCAAGCCUGAUCCAGCAAUGCCGCGUGCAGGAUGAAGGCCUUCGGGUUGUAAACUGCUUUUGUACGGAACGAAAAGCCCUGGGUUAAUACCCUGGGGUCAUGACGGUACCGUAAGAAUAAGCACCGGCUAACUACGUGCCAGCAGCCGCCGUAACAC
rnacentral:rRNA from 1 species